rnacentral:rRNA from 1 species
AUUGAACGCUGGCGGCAUGCUUUACACAUGCAAGUCGAACGGUAACAGGCCGCAAGGUGCUGACGAGUGGCGAACGGGUGAGUAAUGCAUCGGAACGUGCCCAGUCGUGGGGGAUAACGCAGCGAGAGCUGUGCUAAUACCGCAUACGAUCUAUGGAUGAAAGCGGGGGACCGUAAGGCCUCGCGCGAUUGGAGCGGCCGAUGUCCGAUUAGCUAGUUGGUGGGGUAAAGGCCCACCAAGGCGACGAUCUGUAGCUGGUCUGAGAGGACGCCCAGCCACACUGGGACUGAGACACGGCCCAGACUCCUACGGGAGGCAGCAGUGGGGAAUUUUGGACAAUGGGCGCAAGCCUGAUCCAGCAAUGCCGCGUGCAGGAAGAAGGCCUUCGGGUUGUAAACUGCCUUUGUACGGAACGAAACGGUCUGGGUUAAUACCCUGGGCUAAUGACGGUACCGUAAGAAUAAGCACCGGCUAACUACGUGCCAGCCGCCGCAGUAAUAC